rnacentral:misc_RNA from 1 species
GAUGAAGAACGUAGCGAAAUGCGAUACUUGGUGUGAAUUGCAGAAUCCCGCGAAUCAUCGAGUUUUUGAACGCAAGUUGCGCCCGAAGCCAUUCGGCCGAGGGCACGUCUGCCUGGGUGUCACGCAUCGUUGCCCCCCCAAACUCCGGUUCGGGCGGGGCGGAAGUUGGCCUCCCGUGCGUGCCUGCGCGCGCGGUUAGCCCAAAAGCGAGUCCUCGGCGACGAGCGCCACGACAAUCGGUGGUUUUUUUACCCUCGUUCCUCGUCGUGCGUGUCCCGUCGCCCGAACGCGCUCUUGUGACCCUCACGCGUCGCCUCGGCGGCGCUCCCAACGCGACCCCAGGUCAGGCGGGACUACCCGCUGAGUUUAAGCAUAUCAAUAAGCGGAGG